AGUCGACCGGAAUCCCCGAGAGGAGCAAUGGCUCUAACAAUGCUGCUCUUGCUGGUGGCGGCCGCCCUGACCCUGAUCGAGACCCGCGCGGGCCCACACUCGCUGCGGUAUUUCCACACCGCUGUGUCCCGGCCCGGACUCGGGGAGCCCCGGUUCAUCAUCGUCGGCUACGUGGACGACACGCAGUUCGUGCGCUUCGACAGCGACGCGGAAAAUCCGAGGAUGGAGCCGCGGGCGCGGUGGAUGGAGCAGGAGGGGCCGGAGUAUUGGGAGCGGGAGACACAGGUCGCCAAGGGCCAUGAGCAGAGUUUCCAAGGGAGCCUGAGGACUGCACAGAGCUACUACAACCAGAGCAAGGGCGGCUCUCACACACUCCAGUGGAUGUAUGGCUGUGACAUGGGGUCCGACGGGCGCCUCCUCCGCGGGUACCUGCAGUUCGCCUAUGAAGGCCGCGAUUACAUCGCCCUGAACGAAGACCUGAAAACGUGGACGGCGGCGGACAUGGAGGCACAGAUCACCCGACGCAAGUGGGAGCAGGCUGGUAUUGCAGAGAGAGACCGGGCCUACCUGGAGGUCGCAUGAGGCUCCGCAAAUACCUGCAGCUCGGGAAGGAGACGCUGCUGCGCACAGGUGCAGGGGCCGCGGCUGGGGCUCAGUCCUGGGGAAGAAGAAACCCUCAGCUGGGGUGGUGCCCCUGGCUCAGAGGGGAGAGAGUGACCCUGGGUCUCCUGAUCCCUCAUCACAGUGACUGCACUGACUCUCCCAGGGCUCAGCCUUCUCCCUGGACAGUGCCCAGGCUGUCUCAGGAGGGAAGGAGAGAAUUUCCCUGAGGUAACAACAGCUGCUCCCUUCAGUUCCCCUGUAGCCUCUGUCAGCCAUGGCCUCUCCCAGGCCGGGUUCUCAGCCUACACCCACUGUCUGUAGACACUGACUCCUGUCCUGCUGAGUGUGUCAGCCCUUACACCUCAGGACCUGAAGUCUCCUUUACCCGAUGGGAGACAUGGACAUCUACACUAGGCUGGUUCCCCCAGUUUCUAGAACUUUCCAAAGAAUACAGUCUACCAGAUCCUUCCCUGUCUGUGGGGUUUGCAUCCUUUGACACCCAAUUCUAUCUAUUCCUGCAAUGGUGAAUAGUCACAUGAGCCAUUAUGGGUUACCCUAAACAAAUACUUUUCUUGUGU